UUGUUUGGACUAUGGUUCCUCAACGUGUUUGAAUUUACAUUUAGUUUUGGUCUCAUUGCUACUGCGCUUCCUUUCUCUUGGGUUGUAGGAGUUUCUUUGUAUUCAAAACUCUUGCCCAUGGACAUUCAAGGUUAUGGACAAGGUGUAAGACGGUCCAUGGAGUCCUUAGCUGCUAUUAUUGGUCCACUUUGGUCAGGAACACUGUCUGAUACUGAUCCUAAUUACUACCUUUUUUUCACUCUCCCUUCCUUUCUAUUAUUGUUUGUUCUGAUUCUUUUAUUGGCCUCAUUCAAAAGA